UGGCUCCUCCUGCUGGCUGGGGUGCUACUGGUGGUGGCCACCAUAGCAACGGCCGCCGGCGCGGCGGAGGAGGGAGCCACUACCAGUGAUGAUAGCAUUAGCGCCAUCCGGCGUAUAUGCGAGCUCAAGUGCAUGAUGAGUGUCACCAUGUAGACCAUUUAUAUAUGUAUGUGAGGAAGUGAUAAAAAAUAUUGGUUGAAGGUGUACUACAAAAUGAAAAAGUGUGAAUGUGGAUGAAGAAGUGUACGGUGGUGGCCACUUGCAAGUGACCUCCUGCUCGCAGGGCUUCUGCUGGAGCGGCCCGAGCCGGGUGUGGUGGGCAUUGGCGUCUGCAUUGAGAAUGCUUUUGAAUUCUAUAAUUGCAAUGGCGAGCCGCGUUGAAGAAAUAGUUCGUAGGGCCAGUUGAAAAUAUAUUUGCAGGGCCAGUUGAAUUCUAUAAUUGUAAUAACUAUUUGUAGGAGGGGGUAACGUAUCCGCAGUCAUUUACAAGGGUGGGCCACGCCAUCACCCACCCCUAGAAACACAUUUUCAUGUGUCGGUGACGCUAUGGCUCGUCCCUGGAAAUGGUUGUUUGGAGGGGCAAGUGACGGCAUGAGCUGCCUCUGCAAAUUGUUUUGUAGGGUCAGGUGACGGCGUGGUCCGUACAUGAAAAUAUUGUUCCUGCUAAAAAAACAAGCAAUUUAUUUUUUGAAUUUGCGAAUACUAUUUGCUGCCAGUUUUUCACCGAUUUUGGUUCCCGCUAAUUUCACCCUAACAAGCUAGUGUGCGACUCAACAAGCUAGUGUCAUAGACAUAGAACAUGUUACAUAAAUAUAAAUUAAGCAUACGAAAUAAUAGAAAAAUAGAAUAUAUACAUCAUUAGAGUGCACAUUGACAACAUGUUUUUCGGCACUCACGAGUCUAGUUAUGGCAGUACUCUUGAUUCUCCCACUCAUGGAAGCUAACGUAUUUAUCUUCCUAUGCUAACAAGUGUUCAGUGAUAAAAGCUGCCCCUCGGGUUGACUACUUCAUGCAAAGUGUUAGAUAGACGCAAAAGCAAUGUACACAUAUACAUCCCUAUGAAAGAGUGGCUCGGGAUCAGUGUUGCCGGGCAGGGUGCGGCGGUGCGGGCGGAUGCCUAAGGUGGGGGUGGCAGCUGGUGCAGGUCACCGGGGCAAGCGCGGUCGUGACGCCAUGGCCAAUGGCCAUGUGGGGGGAGAGAAGAGGUGUGAGAGAGGAAGAAGAGGAGAGGAUGAGGAUGGGAGCAUUGAUUGUGGGCCCUCGUAUGCUAUAGCAAGAUUGUUAAAUAGAUCAGUUGUAUGACUUACUACAUCCUACGUGGUAACACAUUAGGCAUCCUCCCCUGAAAAUGAUAAAAUGGUCAAAAUCAGCCAACCUUCAAUUGUCACUAUCAGCCACGUGGUAACAGUACUUCAAGUUUAUCUUCCAUCAUCUAAAAACCGACGCAGAUUACUAUAUGAGCCAUGUGAUCAUGUGUCAUAUCAGACGCACCAUCCACAGACAUGCUGAUGGUCGUCGGCCCCCAUGAAUUAUUGAAGUCCAUCAUAUCCCCUGCGUGCAGCUCCAAAAAUUGGAGUUAGCUCUAGGAAAACGAAGAAUAAAUUUUAGAAAAAGAAAUUGGAAAAUUCUCAGAAGGGUCUGGACAACGUCUAAUCGUAUUUUUGGAACUUUUGCACUCAUGAAACACCAAGAUGCAUCGGCAUGAAUGCACAGACACGGAACAUCAUUAUUUUAUUUAGAAAAGCAAACAAUUAUUUUCCUAUACUAAAUUUCCUAUAAAGAAAAAUAAAUGUUGAGAAAUUUUUUAAAAUUAUGAGAAAAUCAUUGUUUAAUUAUUCCUUUUAUUCACAUCCUGAAAUUCGAAAAUUUUAGGGUGUGACAUAGUCCGUGUCCACUAGUUGCGGACAGUGCUAUUAACUGCCGCUAUUUUUGACUAGACUUUUCUUAUUCUUCUACCUCCCCUUUUUGAGAUAGGCUAGCGUUUGUUGUUGAAAUAUGAGUGGAGGGAGCUCUCACAUCGCCUAGUGUGUUUGGGUGCUGGACCCUUAAGUGAAGGAUCCGGAGUUUUGUGCCGACUUCCUUGUUUGAGGUGUUGACCUCGACGAUGGUAUUGCUUUGCUGCUUCCUUGAUUGUUGCUGCUGCUGCAUAAACCUCCAUAGCCAUACAUAGAUUUAACUCAUGCAUAUAGUAUAUUUCUCCUGUUUCCUUGACUUGCUGCUUUUGGGAGUUGACAUGGCCUACCCGCUUCUCGGGUAAAUGGUGGUUCUUCAGGGUCGGAGCCUGACUACGACUUCGACAUCGACGGAUGGGAAGAUUACGGAUGGUUCUUCGCUUGAGUCGCCUCUGGAGAUGGAGUUCGCUAUAGCUUAUGUUUCCGUUGCGUAGAUAUUUUACCUUUCUUGAUUCAGUCCUGAUGGACUUGUACCGGCAUGUGCCGAAGAGAUGUACUCGCUACUCAUGUUAUUUAUGAUAUUUGUACUCUGUUGUUGUUCUAUAUUUCUGUGCUGGUAUGAAUUUGUACUAUCUGAGGGUAUGGAUUUGUACUAUCUGAGCUAGGGAUUUGCACGUGAUUACCUUUCUGGCACUAUCACCGAUGUACGUAGGCUUGAAUUCUUAGAAAUGGGAAUUCCGGUCCGUUUCACGCAUGAAAGUAUGCUAUUGCAAGAUUGUUGAACAGAUCAGUUGUAUGACUUACUAUAUCCUACGCGGUAGCACUUUACUAUAAUCAUUGCGGGUGCCCUCAGAUGGAGGCGGGCAUCCUCCCCUGAAAAUAAUAAAAUGGUCAAAAUCAGCCAACCUUCAAUUGUUGUGAUUUCUCCCUGAGGUAGGAGAAUUGGGGACUUGGAGUAGAUCAACACGGGAGGAACCGUUGGAAGGAAGGAAGGAAGGUUCAGUUCGGGAUUCAGAGUUUCAGCACGCUCGCCAUGGCAUCGAUCUGCUUGGAGAACAACAUCACGCAGCGAGGGCGCCCAAAAACCAAGGGAAGGACGGCAUGGCAGUACUGCAAAGGAGGCAGAGCAGCGAAGCAGAGGAGAGCGGUGAGUUGUCGAGCUAGCGAGACCGACGGAGGUGUUUGGACUUUUGUUGAUGAGAGCAUCUGCAAAUCCUUCGAUUAUUGGUGCCAUCCUCUACUGUGUCAUGAGAGUAUUAUCUACUCAUUUAAACACCAAUAUAUAAAAACUUUGGCUUUUAUCGAAAAGAAAAAAAAAGAUUCAGCCCCGAUGUGAUCCCACCAGCCACCACGCGUUUCACGUGGUAACAGUACUUCAAGUUUAUCUUCAAGUUUCAGACGCACCAUCCACAGACAUGCUGAUUGUCGUCGGCCCCAAUGAAUUAUUGAAGUACAUCCCAUGCGUGCAGCGCGUGUAUAAACACCGCCCUCCGGCAGGCUCCUCCAUCACCACAUCCACCACCUCCUCUCCUCAUCCUGCACUCGACUCUCCUCGUCGUAGUAGUGUUCGAUCGUGUGUGUGCAAGUACAGCAAUGGGGUUUGGGCGGAAGGUUGGAGAGGGUGGGGUUAGCAGGUGGCUCCUCCUGCUCGCCGGGGUGCUGCUGGCGGUGGCUGUCACGGUGACGGCCGGUGACGCUGCGGAGGAGGGAGCCACCGCUGGCGACUACAGCCUCCACGGUAGCCAAGCUAUGUGCGAGCUCAAGUGCCAGCAUCAUCAUGAUCCAGUGAACAAGAAGCGGUGCGUCGACUUCUGCAUACGGUGGCAGCUAGCGCUACCGUUUGACGCUGCGGAGGAGGGAGCCACCGCUGGCGACGACAGCCUCCACGGUAGCCGAGCUAUGUGCGAGCUCAAGUGCCAGCAUCAUCAUGAUCCAGUGAACAAGAAGCGGUGCGUUGACUUCUGCAUACGGUGGCAGCUAGCGCUACCAUUUGAUGCUGCGGAGGAGGGAGCCACCGCGGGCGAGGACAGCCUCCACGGUAGCCGAGCUAUGUGCGAGCUCAAGUGCCAGCAUCAUCAUGAUCCAGUGAACAAGAAGCGGUGCGUCGACUUCUGCAUACGGUGGCAGCUAGCGCUACCGUUUGACGCGGUGGAGGAGGGAGCCACCGCGGGCAAAGACAGCCUCCACGGUAGCCGAGCUAUGUGCGAGCUCAAGUGCCAGCAUCAUCAUGAUCCAGUGAACAAGAAGCGGUGCGUCGACUUCUGCAUACGGUGGCAGCUAGCACUACUGUUUGACGUUAAGGAGGAGGAUGGAGCUAGCGCCACCGACACCAUCACCGCUGGUGAGGUCGGCGUCUGCGCCAACCGGCGUAUAUGCAAGAUCAAGUGCCAGCACCAUCACGACCAGGUGAACAGCAACCGGUGCACCGACUUCUGCAUAGGGUACCAAGUGGCACUAGAUGCCAUUAUGGAGAAUGGAG
rnacentral:lncRNA from 1 species